rnacentral:lncRNA from 1 species
CUUGACAACAACACACUUCCUCGAAGACUUCGACAUCUCCAUCUCCGACAACCAACGUCAUCUCUUUCUCAUCUCGUGAAAUAAACACCACUGCCGGAUUCCAACCUCCUCCGGCGAACAUACGACUUUGUUCCCGUCAGCCAUCGUCUCCUCCUUUCUGCACCGCGCUCUCUUGUUCUCGACAUGGAGAAGAUGGAGCUUGCCUUUCGAUGACAAAAUCAAACUCAGAUUCCGACUACUUUGAUGGCUACCUCCGGCGAAAGCAACUGCAAACCUUCACCUUUUCUUGGUUGCUCCCCGUUCUGGUGAAACAAGAGACUUCUCUUCGUCUCUCAUCCAUGCCUCUUGUCCGUGACACAUCACAACAUCACAGUCAUCUUCACCAUCAAUUAACUCCGGCUGCGUUUAACUCCGCCGAAUCGGACCACCACCAUCACCGCUCAACUCAUGUCUCCAUUGGUGAGCUCCACCUCUUCUCCGAUGAGGCUUUUCCGGCGAAUCCGGCCAUUGAUCAUCUGCAAAUCUCAGGUUUCUUCCGACGAUCUCCAUCUUCCACUGUCACUUCUAGCACUUUUAUUCCCCAAUUUCUAUUGCCUUUAGGCUGUAGCUGCUCCAUCUCAAUUUCUGGGUUUUGCACGAGAACCCUUAAUCCCUCCUUUUUUUUUUGUUUCUCGCUGAAACUUUCAUGAGCUACUCCACCUGGAACCUAUCACUUUCUAACACGGCUCCAAAAUAUUCCGAGGUAGCUUCUUCCCAGUACUUUUUUCAAAUCUAUCCUGCAAGAUCAAGUCACAAACACUAGGACUGUUUCUCCAAUGAACAACGAAGCCUUUCAUCUGUUAAGAUGAACUCCGCAGCUCCUAACUCGGAUUUCUUGAAUCUUCAUCACAUAAACUCCACAUGGAAUCAGAAUCUGCAGCUCAGGUCAACUGAUUCUCCACAUCUCCACCUGGAAUAUAAGUCUCCUCACCGUAUUUCCAGGCGCCUACAGUGGAGUUACCUGGACGAUGUUGAGGAGAUCAUAACAGGCAUGAAAGUCCUUUCCAGCUCCCGGACCCCUAUUUUGAUAUUCGCGGUAGUGGAGAGUUGAUAGACCAGUUUCUCCUUUCCAAGGAGUCCAGCCUGCGGGAUCAACUAAAUCACCGAUGAAAGAUUGCAGAACCGCGACUGUUGAAAAUCUCCUCCAAGGUCUUCCAAGAUACGUUUUUACGGUUGCUGUAUCUAGAUCCGAACUUGUUGUGAUGUUGCAGUUUUGAAUUGAGAAGCCCGAUUUGACGUCCUUAGUCGCGCGUGAUUGAGCGGUUAUGACAUUGCUCUGCCCCAUCUUAGGCUGUCUUGCUACAAUCUGGCAGAAUUGAAAGACCGCCACCGCGUUUCCACAUAUAAAAUCUACAGUGCCGGUAAUAAAGCACUCCCUAUAAAACUGGCGGUCACUAUGAGGAUACAAGGCAUCCUGAUAUCCCUCGACACGACAUCUAUAAAUGACGGACAUAUCACCACUCACACGGAGGGCAACAGCUGGUCCUUUUGCCGGUCCGGCCGUGUUUCGAAAGCACAUGUCUACUCCGAUGAAUCCAUUACCAUUAGAAGCUUCAAACAUAUUUUUAGAAUAAUUAGUAAUGUCUUUAAGAAUGUUAUAGUUUGGUAUAAAGAAGAGAAAACUAUAAACUAUUCAAGAAGAGAAUACAAAUUCUUACCAACAGUUGCGGUGUUGUACGUUCUUCUAACAUUGCUAGCGCUUAAAUUGCCUGUGAUGAUGGUUAAAUCUUGACCAUCACCUAUAAGAGUUAAAUUGGGUUUCGUAUUCUCAAUGACGACGAUUUCAUCAUAAAUGCCUGUCUUUAUAUAGAUGACGAAUCUCUUUUGGCUGUGUUGAGGUGCCGCUGCAAUGGCCGCAUUCACUGUGCUGUACUUUCCGGUCCCAUCCUUCGCGACCACAACAUCAGCAAUCUUCUUUAGAGCCUGCUUUAUAAGAAACAGAAGAAAUUCUAUAAGCAGUAGAAAGAAAGAAAAAAAAGGAUAAAAGGUUUGUUAAGAGGGUCAAACAUAUCGAUCGAAUUGUGUUCUUCAUUACGUGACCUUAAGGUCUAUUUUUAUACAAGGGCUGAUCUCUAAGGAAAAGGAAUUAUCUACCUAAAAGUAAUUACAAUAAAAGGUAAAUAUAAAAAUCCUAAAUAUUUGUUACUUGAGUAUCAAGUAAAUCCUUAAUAUGGGUUUUCACGAUUAUCAAAUUAUAACUUCAAAAUAUAAAGGUUCUGUUUUAUUACCUCAGCAUUGAGAUAUAGAUCUUUCUUGUCAACAUGGAAUAACCAAGAAGGGCCAUUGGGAAUCACCGAGAUAAGUUCGGUGUUGUCUCUCAGUGAAAUGGAGAUAAAAAGAGCCAAAACUACUCUUGCCCUAGAAAUGAGGUUUUCAAGCUUUGGCUCGACCCGGCGUUUAUAGGCACCUUCACCAAUUUCGUCGAUACAUGUGAUGUAGCUAGUAAGAACGCUACUAAGCCAAGUGUGGGAAUUCUCCUCCUAAGAGUUCCUCCACUGAAUGGAUCAUCCUAUCUUUUACCGACUCCAUCAUCUCCUCAAAUAGAUUUGUGUCCUCCUUCACACCAAGCAUAUCAUUCUCCAUCUCUUCAUGUUGUUUUGUAUCAUCCAUCACACCAAUCAUAGCCAUGUCGAUCCUCCGUACGGAAUUCUUCAAAACGAUGAUCAAUAAGUCACGACGUCUAAUCUCCGAGAGUGACGAUGAACCCGCCUUAAGCUCCAACAAAAGGUUUUGACAUGACUGUUUGUCAUCACAAUAUUCUUUGCUAACGCCAAUUACCAUUAUUAUCAUAAGGAUGAAAAAAGAGAAAACUUUAACCAACAUUUUUGUAUUUAUUUCUUCUCUCUUAAUUACUGAAUUUAUAUUAUCUUAACUGAUGAAAGAGGAGGGAGCGAUGGUGGUCUUAUAUACAAAGCAAAGCAACUUAAUCAAUUUAUCCUUUAAUUAAUUGUAUUCGAUAAACGACAAUAUUUAGGAAAAAAACUUUAUUUUGAGAUCAAUCUAAAAAUUUAGUGCAAUGUGAAUUGAAGAUAUAAUUCAGUGAAGUUUGGUUUUAUUAUCCACAAAGAACAGAAAAGAAAAGUGGUCCAUAUUUCAGCUCAUAAAAGAUAGAAAGAAUUGUCUUAGAGUAAUUUAGUUGAAAUACUUGUUACCCAAUGUACUCUAAAUGGCUUAAAAAAAAAUGAAUUUGGUAGAAAUUGGUUUCAUCUAUUUUUGUUUAUGCUAACAACAAUACAAUAUAUUCUCAACCUUAAUCUCUUGUGAGGAUGAGACUUAGCCAUUAUUGUUUUAGUACUAGAAAAGACAAUAUACACCUAAUAAAUAGAAAACCCUUAGAUUUAUUUUUGGGCGAUAGAAAAGAUGUUCUUUUUUUCUUUUUGGUUCAUUCUAUCGGUUGUUACGCAAUUCACUCUCAACUUUCACUACGUUACAAUGUUUACCCGAAAAGAUACACUCUCAUAACUUGUCAUUCCUCCGUAAAAAAAUGGUACUGUAAUUUUGACAACUUUGAAUGAAUCUUAUGCAGCUCUUGUAUCUGGAAUCGAUCUCUUCUUUGAGAUUUUUAGAAUUGGUAAAAGAACAAGAAAGCUUUAGAUGUGCUGCGUAGAGCUGUAACUAAAGAUGGUGGUCAUUGCUUUGGAUGCUAAAUGAUGUGGAGAAGAAUCAAUUUCCUUCGGAUUGUUCUUGAAAAGGGUUUAGUAGUCUGUUUUUGCGGAUGCUGAUGUGAUGUGGUUCAUGAACUAAUUUGCUUCUCAAUGCUUUCUUAUGAUUUCUUUGUUGAGUUGCAUUUGACUGAGAACUCUCGUGAGAUGCUUCACAUACUUAUAAAGUCUCAGUCUGCUUGGCAUGGAAUGGUAUUGUAUAUCAGAAGACAAUUCAAUAUGGAGAUUGAUGUUGUAGUAAUUGUUGCGUAGGCUUCUUUUUUAUGCUUGUGUCUUUUCUAUAUUGUUGUUACGACGAUGUUACAACGGUUCUCAAAACGACGUCAUUAUUUUUGUGUCAUUUAACAACCGACGUUAUCAUCAAUAUAUAUUCCGAAAAUUCACGACUGAUGAAUGCUCUACUUAU